UCGAGUUUCGACCGAAAGGUCAACUCCCACCCUUUGUGUACUUGACCAGUUGCUUCGGCGGGUCGAUCAUCUCUGAUGACCAUCGGCUUUCCAGCGGAUGUGCGCCCGCCGAAGGAAAUUUCUCACUCUUGUUUAAAGGUUGUCUGAGUUUAAAUUUGAAAAAAAGCA
rnacentral:misc_RNA from 1 species